rnacentral:rRNA from 1 species
UACGAAGGGGGCUAGCGUUGUUCGGAUUUACUGGGCGUAAAGCGCACGUAGGCGGAUCGUUAAGUCGGGGGUGAAAUCCUGGAGCUCAACUCCAGAACUGCCUUCGAUACUGGCGAUCUUGAGUCCGGAAGAGGUGAGUGGAAUUCCUAGUGUAGAGGUGGAAUUCAUAGAUAUUAGGAAGAACACCAGUGGCGAAGGCGGCUCACUGGUCCGGUACUGACGCUGAGGUGCGAAAGCGUGGGGAGCAAACAGG